AUUGAACGCUGGCGGCAGGCCUAACACAUGCAAGUCGAACGAGUGGCGGACGGGUUAGUCAUGUCUGGGAAUCUGCCUGAUGGAGGGUGAUAACUACUGGAAACGGUAUCUAAUACCGCAUACCAUCAGAUGUUCCCAGAUGGGAUUAGCUAGUUGGUGGGGUAACGGCUCACCAGGGCGACGAUCCCUAGCUGGUCUGUGAGGAUGACGAGCCACACUGGAACUUAGAAACGGUCCAGACGCCUACGGGAGGCAGCAGUGGGGAAUAUUGCACAAUGGGCGCAAGCCUGAUGCAGCCAUGCCGCGUGUAUGAAGAAGGCCUUCGGGUUGUAAAGUACUUACAGAGGGGAGGCGUUACCAGAAGAAGAAGAACCGGCUAACUCCGUGCCAGCAGCCGCGGUAAUAC
rnacentral:rRNA from 1 species